AACCUUGUGCAUGGGCAAUAUCCUGAAUCGAUGAAGUUUAUACUGAGAUGGGAUUAUUGCGAAUUGAAAACUUAACCAAUGCCUCGCGCUGAGGACGUAACAGUCCGCAGCGCAAUUUUUGGGAGUCUCUAACGAGA
rnacentral:snRNA from 1 species